rnacentral:rRNA from 1 species
CCUACGGGAGGCAGCAGUGGGGAAUAUUGGACAAUGGGGGCAACCCUGAUCCAGCAAUGCCGCGUGUGUGAAGAAGGUCUUCGGAUUGUAAAGCACUUUCGACGGGGACGAUGAUGACGGUACCCGUAGAAGAAGCCCCGGCUAACUUCGUGCCAGCAGCCGCGGUAAUA